UGAUAUCCUAAGUGAAUGCUCACCGUCUUGAUUCUUUUGGAUUUAUCUUCUUUAAGAGGUAAGUCUUGCAUUUGCUGUGCUUCUUCGUUGACUUGUUCUGUUUGUUUUGUGUGUGUGUGUGUGUGUUUUUUUUAGCAUUCCCAUCACCAUUGAGAAAACGCUGAUCCCAAAAGACAGCUGAUGACUUCAUCACAACACAAAAAACGUGGUAGCUGAGUCAACACCUGUCUGCACACACGGGGAAGAUGAUGUGUUGCCAAGAUGCUUUCACGGAGGGAAGGAAACGGCGCAGUCGAACCUCCAGGAAGGUUUGCAGCGGCGUUCGAAAAUAGAAAUUAUGGGCCUGCCUAACAUGGGAAAGUCAACUUUUUUUUCAAGGUGCUGACAAAGAGUCAGGCUACUGCUGAAAAUUUCCCCCUUCUGCACCACUGACCCAAAUGAAAGCAGAGUGCCCAUUCCGGACCAGCGCUAUGAUUUCCUCUGCCAAUUCCAUGAAGCAGCCAGCGCAAUCCCGCAGUUCCUUUACGCUGUCGACAUCGCCGGCCUCGGGAAAUGUGCUUCCACAUGACACGUGCGUUUGGCGACGAGGAUAUCGUCCAUGUCGGGGGGGCUGGACCCCGUGAGGGACGUGGAGAUCAUCCACGACGAGCUGAGGCUGAAGGACGAGAAAACGGCUAUUAGAGGCUGCGACAUGAAACUCAAACCAGAAUAUUUUUUAUUGAGUACAGCUGCAAAAUAACCCACCAUGGGGCCAAAGAAAGUUGCGGGUGCCAGAAGUUUGAUAAAGAAGCUGAGAAACACUAUUGAAUUCAAGGAAGAAAUCAUGGCAAAGUACGCUCCUCGCCGCCUUCGCCACUUCAAUAAAGGAAGCAAUGUGCAAAAUCAAAAGCUGAAAAAAAACACGUACGCUCCCAUAAUGAAAGAGACGAUAAAGAGAUCAAAGUACUUGUACAAAGUACUUACCCCAUGAACCUCUCAGAGCGAGACUAUAUUCGGAAAAAAGAACAAAUGGUUGCUAGCAUGUCACACAAUUACAUCGCCACGGUUCCACGGAAUGUUACUACAUAUAAAUAGCGCUGUUCCUCCUAUCAAGACCUACAACAAAUGGAGAUGAUGCUGUGUAUUGGAUGAUGCUGGUUAUUGUCCACGAUGGAAAGGAGUCUCCUCAGUGUCCUUUGGUCCGCCACAGAUGUCAGGCUGUCCAGGUCAGUGCCAAUGACAGUCUGCUUUUCUUACCAGUUUGUCCAGGCGAGUUACGUCCUUCUUCUUGAGGCUGCUCUCCCAGCUGCAUAUCGGAGGGCACUAGCUACCACGGUCUGGUAGAAGACUGGUCACAGCUUCUUGCGUAUGUUGAAGGACUCCAGCCUUCAGAGGAAGUACAGACAGCCCUGCCCUUUCCUGCACAGAGCAUCUAUGUUGGCAGUCCAGUCCAGGUCAUCAUCAGAUCCACUGCCAGCGCCACCAGCGAGAUCAUCAAGGCAGACUACGCGGCCCCGCAGCUCGAGUGCUUCUUCACUGCCGGACCUGAUGAGGUCCAUGCAUUGCCCACACGGGAAGGAACUGAAGCAGCUCAGGCUGCGAGGAAGAUCCUCACUGACUUCAUUAUGGAAGUCAUGAAAUUCCCGGAUUUAAAGAGGAAGGCAGCGAGAACGGCGUCAAGACGACAGGGGAUCGGGAGCUACAUCGCCGAAGAAAGUGACAUCAUCUUCUCCGAAAGAAGAGCUGACAUGAGAGGCUGUGCCAAUCGCAGCCACACGCCAUCCAGGAUGAAAUCCCCUCCGCAGCGCAGCACGGGUUCACUAAACUCAGACAGCUUUGCUAUUUAAGAUCAGGAUCAGCCCUCCACUCCAAAUUGCAAGGAGCAUAUUACUCUCCUGAUACUUCAUUAAUCUCCAUCACGGCUGCCAACACUGUCACAGCUGACAGCGGGGACAAUGCCACCUGCUCCUCUCUCCACGUGUGCAGAGAAUGCAUGUUUUACAGUAGGCCAGAUGUCUACACUCAAUAAAACAUUUGACAAAACCGGCCUGUGUGUGUUUUGGGAUCUCCGGAUGGCGCGGCGAGGCCGCGUGGGCAGGCUGAUAGCGCUUCUGCCCACCACUGAUUAGAGAAUGAAAAAGACACAGCUGACAUUGACUGCAGCACACAGGCGACUGUUGUCAUGAGAUCUGUUCAGGGAUGCGGGUUUCGGGGAAGGGCGCGGAACCUGGACGAGCUAUGGCCAGGAAAAUGGUCAGUUGGAACCGCCGGUGGGGAAGUGACGGACUUGACCUUUCAGCGUUUAUUCUCUCGGUUAUGAUUGAUGAAUGAAACGCUGAUGGAUAGAAGAGUACUCGCAGCCCGGGCCCAUUUGCAGCCCGCGGUUGUUUUUUUUAUUGGCCCGCGACAUAUUCAAAAAAUAGAAUUUAACAAGAAAACUAAAAAAAAAAAAAAAAAAAAGAAAAGAAGAAGAAGAAGAAAAAUCAACAGUAUUUUUAUAAAAAUAAAGUCAAAAUAUUAAAAGAUUCAAAAUAUUCAAAUCUAGCAAGAAAAAGUCAUUUUACCAGAAAAAAUGAAAAAUAAUGUCAUAAUAUUAUGAGGAAAAAUUACAUCAUUUUUAAUUCGUAAUAUUAGGAGAAACAAACAAAACAAUAAAUAAAGUUGUAAUUUCUGGGAAAUGUGGUUAAAACAAAAGUCAAGUCCAAAUAUUAAGAGAAAAAGUUGUCAUCUAAUGAGAAAAAGUCAUAAUUUUACAAAAAAUUAUGUCAUAAUACUAAGAGGAAAAAUAACACUAUUUUGGGGAGCAUAAAAUUAAAACAAAAAAAAUGUUUUUUAAGUCGUUAUAUUAUGAGAACCAAAACAACAAAGAUGCAAUUUUUGCAAAAUCAAGUUAAAAAAAACAGCAAAAAUGGAAACUCAGCAGUCAUUUUACAAGAAUAAAGUCAAAAUAUAAAGAGAAAGAAGUUGUAAUCUAACAAGGAAAAGUCAUAAUUUUACUAGAAAAGAAUAAUGUUAUAAUAUUAUGAGGAAAAAUAACAUCAUUUUUAUGUCGUAAUACUACGAGAAACAAACAAAACAACAAAUAAAGAUGUAAUUUCUAGAAAAUGUGGUUAAAAACAGCAAAGAUGGAAAAAUUUGCAGUAAUUUUACAAGAAUAAAGUCCAAAUACUAAGAGAAAAUAGUUGUAAUCUAAUGAGAAAAAGUCAUAAUUUUACAACAAUAAUGUCAUAAUAUUAAGAGGAAAAAUAACACUAUUUUGGGGAGCAUAAAGUUAAAACAUUUAAAAAAAAAUGUUUUUUAAGUCAUUAUAUUAUGAGAACCAAAACAACAAAGAUGUAAUUUUUGCAAAAUCAAGUUAAAAAAACAGCAAAAAAGGAAAAUCAGCAGUAAUUUUACAAGAAUAAAGUCAAAAUAUAAAGAGAACAAAGUUGUAAUCUAACAAGAAGAAGUCAUAAUUUUAAAAGAAUCAUUCUGACAAAAAAUAACAUCAGUUUAGUGGCAUGAAGUUGCAAUAUUACCAAUAUUACGACCAGUCCAAGGUGUACACCGCCUCUCUCCCAAAGUCAGCUGGCAU